rnacentral:rRNA from 1 species
CGGCAUCGGGUGAUAUUGAAAACUACGGUGGAUAGAGAUGGGCACGCGCAAGAUUAGCUAGUUGGUGAGGUAACGGCUCACCAAGGCGACGAUCUUUAGGGGGCCUGAGAGGGUGAUCCCCCACACUGGUACUGAGACACGGACCAGACUCCUACGGGAGGCAGCAGUGAGGAAUAUUGGACAAUGGGUGGAAGCCUGAUCCAGCCAUCCCGCGUGCAGGAAGACGGCCCUAUGGGUUGUAAACUGCUUUUAUCUGGGGAUAAACCUACUUACGUGUAAGUAGCUGAAGGUACCAGAAGAAUAAGCACCGGCUAACUCCGUGCCAGCAGCCGCGGUAAUACGGAGGGUGCAAGCGUUAUCCGGAUUUAUUGGGUUUAAAGGGUCCGUAGGCGGACUGAUAAGUCAGUGGUGAAAUCCGACAGCUUAACUGUCGAACUGCCAUUGAUACUGUUAGUCUUGAGUAAGGUUGAAGUGGCUGGAAUAAGUAGUGUAGCGGUGAAAUGCAUAGAUAUUACUUAGAACACCAAUUGCGAAGGCAGGUCACU